rnacentral:lncRNA from 1 species
AAGCAGGAUGAUGAUGCCCAGCAGUAGCUUCCUCAAGUACUCUUCAUUCUGGCUCUUUCAAGUAUCUCAGUGAGGCUGCUGGGGGAGCCACCAGUAUCAAACUGUUGUGCACUGAAGCUACAACUUCAUAUUCUCUGAGCAUAUAUAUUGUACAAUUAUGUUUCUUCCACCAGAGUAGAUAAAGGCACCAGCGUCAAUAUAUGGUGUUUCUAGGAGAAACAAAGCCACACCACUGCAGCGGUACAAACACGUUGUCAGGUGAAGAUGUCAAGUGCUAACAGCACACGUGAUGCACAGGCGCACCUCAGCACGCAGGGGCAGCGUUUCUAAGCACAGCCUCCAGGAAUGACACAUCCCAGGGCAGGGUGGAACUUGGCUCAAAGAGCAGGAAGGGAGAGCAGAACAAAGCUGGACACCGUAUGGGCGACCCAUUCCUCCCCCUUAGUGGUCUGUUUCCCUUGCAUGGGAGCCAGGGAAGUGAGUGGGAGGAUGUGCUACGUCUAACACAGGAAACCGCAGAGUUUGGUGGCCACGCUACAUUCACUCCUGGCUUUGAAUGCUCUUUCCUCAUUCUGCAAGUCUCUUCAUCAAGGACAUGCUCUUGCAUUUCUGAAAUGGCUGUCUUGGCUAACACCUCGGGGAUUUCUGUGAGGCCAUUGGACUGCCUGCGAGAGAUCCAGGACUUUCUGAAGAAACACAUGGACUUUGUCUUCUUGCUCCUGGGCAUCACCAUUGGCCUCACGGUUUAUGGGAUGUUCCUAACUUCAUUCCUCUGGUUCUCCAUCCACUUCAGCAGUAACCUGUACCGGAAAGGCAAAUACAUCCUGCGAGAGAGGUAGAAACCUGAUGCCUGGGCAUCCCUACCAGGCAGAGCCAGCUCUUGGCACAGGAAGAUGUCUGAAGUCACCCGCAAAAUGCCCUGGGAAGGUAUUUUGUGGGGUCAGGUGGUGGGAUGUGUGUCACACAUUUCCCUUUCCUGCACUACUACUGAGCUCAGAGAUGCAGAUUCCCUCGAUGGGAGAUGUACCUUAUGUACCCACCUUGUGGGUUGUAGCUUUACAAGAAGGACACAAGGAGUUCUUUACAACUAAAUGGAGAGAAAAGCCCAGAAAAAAUCACAGCAUUAAACCAGACUUCUCUCAUGCUGUCAUCUGAGCAGUUUCCUGUGACCCCCAAAGAUGCAAUGUUUCUAGGAAGAUGGCUUUGGAUUGAAGCCCAGGAUCAAUGCACUAUCAGUAAAUAAAGGACGGCAAGUGUGUCA